AUAGCCAUGCAUGUGUAAGUGCAGCCGACUAAGGCGAAACCGCGAAAGGCUCAUUACAUCAGUUGUGGUUCCUUGGACUGUACCCAGUUACUUGGAUAACUGCGGAAAAUCUGGAGCUAAUACAUGCCGACAGAGUCCCGACCAGAGAUGGGAGGGACGCUUUUAUUAGAUCAAAACCAAAAAUCCUCCUCGGAGGAAAAGGUUUAAGGUGACUCUGAAUAACUUUGUGCCGAUCGCACGGCCCUCGCGCCGGCGACGCGUCUUUCAAAUGUCUGCCUUAUCAACUUUCGAUGGUAGGCUCUGCGCCUACCAUGGUUGUAACGGGUGACGGGGAAUCAGGGUUCGAUUCCGGAGAGGGAGCCUGAGAAACGGCUACCACAUCCAAGGAAGGCAGCAGGCGCGCAAAUUACCCACUCCCGGCUCGGGGAGGUAGUGACGAAAGAUAACGAUGCAGGACUCUUUUGAGGCCCUGUAAUCGGAAUGACUACAUUUUAAAUCUCUUAAGGAGUAUCAAUUGGAGGGCAAGUCUGGUGCCAGCAGCCGCGGUAAUUCCAGCUCCAAUAGCGUAUAUUAAAGCUGUUGCGGUUAAAAAGCUCGUAGUUGGAUCUGUGCCCCGCACCGCCGGUUCCCUCUCUGAGGCGAUUACUGGUCGUGAAGCGGGGCGUCCUGCCGGUGGGAGGUCUUGCCGGCGGCGGUUUCUUUACCCGCGGCGUAUCCGUCUUCGUACGGUUUGUUCGUGUUCAGUCGACCGGGCGACCGGUACGGCGGCGUCAUCCUGCGUUGUUCGGGGCCCGGGUGGGCCGUCGAUGCGUGCGCUCCCGGUUAUCCGAUCCUGCCGAAGGUGCUCUUCACCGAGUGUCGAGGCGGGCCGGCAUGUUUACUUUGAACAAAUUAGAGUGCUUAAAGCAGGCUGGUGACGCCUGAAUGCUGUGUGCAUGGAAUAAUGGAAUAGGACCUCGGUUCUAUUUUCUUUUGGUUUUCUGAACCAGAGGUAAUGAUUAACGGAGACAGGCGGGGGCAUUCGUAUUGCGACGUUAGAGGUGAAAUUCUUGGAUCGUCGCAAGACGAACAGAAGCGAAAGCAUUUGCCAAGGAUGUUCUCGUUGAUCAAGAACGAAAGUCAGAGGUUCGAAGGCGAUCAGAUACCGCCCUAAUUCUGACCGUAAACGCUGCCAUCUGGUUAUUCGCCCACGUUACUAUUCUUAUGACUGGGCGAGCAACCCUCGGGAAACCAAAGAUUUUGGGUUCCGGGGGAAGUAUGGUUGCAAAGCUGAAACUUAAAGGAAUUGACGGAAGGGCACCACCAGGAGUGGAGCCUGCGGCUUAAUUUGACUCAACACGGGAAACCUCACCAGGCCCGGACACUGGAAGGAUUGACAGAUUGAUAGCUCUUUCUUGAUUCAGUGGGUGGUGGUGCAUGGCCGUUCUUAGUUGGUGGAGCGAUUUGUCUGGUUAAUUCCGAUAACGAACGAGACUCUAGCCUGCUAACUAGUCGAUGAUUUCAAUCCGGCAUCCUUUAACGGCUGCCGGCGAAAACAACUCUUCUUAGAGGGACAGGCGGCUCCUAGCCGCACGAGAUUGAGCAAUAACAGGUCUGUGAUGCCCUUAGAUGUUCUGGGCCGCACGCGCGCUACAAUGAAGGUAUCAACGUGUGUUCCUUGGCCGAGAGGUCCGGGUAACCCGCUGAACCACCUUCGUGCUUGGGACUGGGGCUUGAAAUUGUUCCCCAUGAACGAGGAAUUCCCAGUAAAGGCGUGUCACUAGCACGCCUUGAUUACGUCCCUGCCCUUUGUACACACCGCCCGUCGCUACUACCGAUUGAAUGAAUUAGUGAGGUCUUCGGACCAGCGCGCGGUUCUCGUCCCUCGGGACUCCCGUCGCUGCAGGGAAGAUGAUCGAACUUGUUCAUUUAGAGGAAGUAAAAGUCGUAACAAGGUUUCCGUAGGUGAACCU
rnacentral:rRNA from 1 species